rnacentral:rRNA from 1 species
GGAUGCGAUCAUAGCAGCACUAAAGCAACGGAUCCCAUCAGAACUACGAAGUUAACCGUGCUUGGGCGAGAGUAGUACUAGGAUGGGUGACCUCCUGGGAAGUCCUCGUGUUGCAUUCC